rnacentral:misc_RNA from 1 species
GAUGAAGAACGUAGCGAAAUGCGAUAAGUAGUGUGAAUUGCAGAAUUCAGUGAAUCAUCGAAUCUUUGAACGCACAUUGCGCCCCUUGGAAUUCCAUGGGGCAUGCCUGUUCGAGCGUCAUUUGUACCCUCAAGCUUUGCUUGGUGUUGGGUGUUUGUCCUCUCCUUUGCGUUUGGACUCGCCUUAAAGCAAUUGGCAGCCAGUGUUUUGGUAUUGAAGCGCAGCACAUUUUGCGAUUCUAGCCGAUAAUACUUGCGUCCAUAAGCCUUUUUUAACUUUUGACCUCGGAUCAGGUAGGGAUACCCGCUGAACUUAAGCAUAUCAAUAAGCGGAGGA